UACGUAGGGUGCGAGCGUUAAUCGGAAUUACUGGGCGUAAAGCGUGCGCAGGCGGUUUUGCAAGCCGGAUGUGAAAUCCCCGGGCUCAACCUGGGAAUGGCAUUGGAAACUGGCUUGCUGGAGUGUGGCAGAGGGGGGUGGAAUUCCGCGUGUAGCAGUGAAAUGCGUAGAGAUGCGGAGGAACACCGAUGGCGAAGGCAGCCCCCUGGGCCAACACUGACGCUCAGGCACGAAAGCGUGGGGAGCAAACAGG
rnacentral:rRNA from 1 species